rnacentral:rRNA from 1 species
UACGUAGGGGGCAAGCGUUGUCCGGAUUUAUUGGGCGUAAAGAGCGUGUAGGCGGCCAGGUAGGUCUGCUGUGAAAACUCGAGGCUCAACCUCGAGAUGUCGGCGGAAACCAUCUGGCUAGAGUCCGGAAGAGGAGAGUGGAAUUCCUGGUGUAGCGGUGAAAUGCGCAGAUAUCAGGAAGAACACCCGUGGCGAAAGCGGCUCUCUGGAACGGUACUGACGCUGAGACGCGAAAGCGUGGGGAGCGAACAGG